UUCGAGCGUCAUUACAACCCUCAAGCUCUGCUUGGUAUUAGGCCUCACCAUCUUGGUGGGCUUUAAAAAUAGUGGCGGUGCCAGUCGGCUUCAAGCUUAGUAAUUUUUCUGGCUUUGGAGAACCGGCUAUGUGCCUGCCAGCAAGCAUAAUAUUUUAAAAGGUUGACCUCGGAUCAGGUAGGGAUACCCGCUGAACUUAA
rnacentral:misc_RNA from 1 species